CAGAAUGUUGGCUACCAGGGUAUUUAGCCUAGUUGGCAAGCGAGCAAUUUCCACCUCUGUGUGUGUACGAGCACAUGAAAGUGUUGUGAAGAGCGAAGACUUUUCGCUCUCAGCUUAUGUGGAUCGGCGUGACCACCCCUUGCCGGAGGUGGCCCAUGUCAAGCACCUGUCUGCCAGCCAGAAGGCCUUGAAGGAGAAGGAGAAGGCCUCCUGGAGCAGCCUCUCCAUGGAUGAGAAAGUCGAGUGUGGGUAUUGAAGGGACCCACAGGCGCGCCCAGCAGCUCUUGGAAGUGUGUGUGUGUGUGUGUGUGUGUGUGUGUGUGUGUGUGUGUGUGUGUGCGUGCCUCUGCUCACUUCUGGGCCUACUGUCUAGAGAGCAGUCUUGCACAGGAGGGUUGCUGUGCUGGGUUUCGGGGUCACUGUCCCAGGGCCCCAGUUUAUGUGCUCACCAGUCACUUAGCUCUGCCAGCUGACAGAAUCUUUUGCUAGGCCCCCUUCUCUGUGCUGAGUGGAGGUAGCCUCUCAGCAUAUUUGCUGAGUAAGACAUUGUUAACUGUAAAUUACUGAAAGAAACUCAGCAAAAUGCAUAGUGUUUGAUAUGAAAGGGGCAUAAAAAUAACGAGAUUAAAUAGACCCUAACACUGUAAUUCAAGUAAGAAAUAAUUUUGCAGUUUUAAUUUGCACCUAAAGCAAACUGCAUUUUCUUCCUUUCUUGCUCUGUCACAUGCCUGCGUGGGCACGUGCGUGCACAUACGUGCAUGAACAUGAUGUGGCCCGGGUUGGUGUAUCCUUCAGCUCUGUGUUUCCUCCUUCACAAGUGUGGUUUUGGGGAGAAGUGGUUGAAUGUUGCAGAGGAGGGAGCUGCUGACCUUUGUACCUGUAAAUGGCUGUCCUCUCUGCCCCCAGUGUAUCGCAUUAAGUUCAAGGAGAGCUUUGCUGAGAUGAACAGGGGCUCGAACGAGUGGAAGACGGUUGUGGGCGGUGCCAUGUUCUUCAUCGGCUUCACCGCGCUCAUUAUCAUGUGGCAGAAGCGCCAUGUGUACGGCCCCCUCCCGCAAAGCUUUGACAAAGAGUGGGUGGCCAAGCAGACCAAGAGGAUGCUGGACAUGAAGGUGAACCCCAUCCAGGGCUUAGCCUCCAAGUGGGACUACGAAAAGAAUGAGUGGAAGAAGUGAGAGAUGCUGGCCUGCGCCUGCACCUGCGCCUGGCUCUGUCACCGCCAUGCAACUCCAUGCCUAUUUACUGGAAACCUGUUAUGCCAAACAGUU
rnacentral:sRNA from 1 species